GACGAACGCUGGCGGCAGGCUUAACACAUGCAAGUUGAACGGGAUUUGAUGGUAGCUUGCUAUCAUUGAAGAGAGUAGCGCACUGGUGAGUAACACGUGGGAACAUACCCUUUUGGUGGGGGACAACAGUUGGAAACGACUGCUAAUACCGCAUAAGCCCUGAGGGGGAAAGAUUUAUUGCCCGAAAGAUUGGCCCCGCGGAAGAUUAGGGUAGUUGGUGGGGGUAAAAGGCUCACCAAGCCAACGAUCUAUAGCUGGUCUGAGAGGACGAUCAGCCACAUUGGGACUGAGAUACGGCCCAGACUCCUACGGGAGGCAGCAGUGGGGAAUAUUGGGCAAUGGGGGAAACCCUGACCCAGCAACGCCGCGUGAAGGAAGAAGGCCUUCGGGUUGUAAACGUUCUUUUACCUAGGGACGAACGAAACUAGACGGUACCUGGAG
rnacentral:rRNA from 1 species